GUUGGGCACUCUAGGGGGACUGCCGGUGAUAAGCCGAGAGGAAGGUGGGGAUGACGUCAAGUCCUCAUGGCCCUUACGGGCUGGGCUACACACGUGCUACAAUGGUGGUGACAAUGGGCAGCGAAACCGCAAGGUGGAGCUAAUCUCCAAAAGCCAUCUCAGUUCGGAUUGCACUCUGCAACUCGAGUGCAUGAAGUCGGAAUCGCUAGUAAUCGUGGAUCAGCAUGCCACGGUGAAUACGUUCCCGGGCCUUGUACACACCGCCCGUCACACCAUGGGAGUUGGUUUUACCCGAAGGUGCUGUGCUAACCGCAAGGAGGCAGGCAACCACGGUAGGGUC
rnacentral:rRNA from 1 species